rnacentral:tRNA from 1 species
GGGGAUAUGGCUCAGUGGUAGUGUUAUUGCGUUACAUGCAAAAGGCCCUGGGUUCAAUUCCCAGUACCACCG